UGGUGACCAUAGCGUCUGUGCCCCACCCGAUCCCAUCUCGAACUCGGCCGUGAAACCGGACUGCGCCAAUGGUACUAACGCUCAAGCGUUGGAAGAGUAGGUCGUCGCCA
rnacentral:rRNA from 2 species